GACGAACGCUGGCGGCGUGCUUAACACAUGCAAGUCGAACGGAAAGGCCCAGCUUGCUGGGUACUCGAGUGGCGAACGGGUGAGUAACACGUGGGUGACCUGCCUCAUACUCUGGGAUAAGCCUGGGAAACUGGGUCUAAUACUGGAUAUUACCUUGGACUGCAUGGUCUGGGGUGGAAAGCUUUUGCGGUGUGAGAUGGGCCCGCGGCCUAUCAGCUUGUUGGUGAGGUAAUGGCUCACCAAGGCGACGACGGGUAGCCGACCUGAGAGGGUGAUCGGCCACACUGGGACUGAGACACGGCCCAGACUCCUACGGGAGGCAGCAGUGGGGAAUAUUGCACAAUGGGCGCAAGCCUGAUGCAGCGACGCCGCGUGAGGGAUGACGGCCUUCGGGUUGUAAACCUCUUUCGCCAGGGACGAAGCGCAAGUGACGGUACCUGGUAAAGAAGCACCGGCCAACUACGUG
rnacentral:rRNA from 1 species